GGGGAGCAUCUUCUGUUGCUCAUAACAAGCCUCUUUCGAUUCUGCCAGAGUUCAUGCUAAUGAGGUGACUAUUGGAGGAAGGGGGCUGGUUGCCAGAGGGACCAACCCAGUGAUUAGAGAUUUGGAACUUUCAGCUCAACCCUCUGAUCUCAGGGAAGGGAGAAGGGAUGAAGAUUGAGUUAAUCACCAAUGGCCAAUGCUUUUAUCAAUCAUUCCUGCAUAAUGAAGUAAUGAAACCUCCAUAAAAAUCCUAAAAGAUGGAGUUCAGACUGCUUCUGGGAUGGUGAAUUCAUCAAUAUGCUGAGAGAACGGGGCAUCCAGAGAGGCACGGAAGCUCUGUGCUCCUCCCCUCCCCCUUACUUUGCCCUGUGCAUUUCUUACAUCUGGCUGUUCCUGAAUUAUAUGCUUUAGAAGAAACCAGUCACAAAACAAACAUUCACUUGGGCCUAGAAAAUUCCAAAGUGCCAGCAUUUGCGACAUGGUGCAAGACUCAUCAUAUUCAACUUAGCCUUUUUUUUUCCUAAGAAAGAAGCAUAUGGAAGUAACUGCUUUAAAAAUAUCUCUUUAAAGCUGUCAGAGAUCAAAUUAAACAUUAAAACCUUAUGCUGUUGAUCAGCA